rnacentral:lncRNA from 1 species
GUGCGCGGGCGGAUGGAUCAACGCCGCCAAGUGGGUAAGGUCUGAGGAUUGCGUCAUUAGGCGAUUUUGUUGCUGUACGAACACCACAGAAUGUACUUUGACGACCUAGAUGGUGGAGCCUGGACACACCUCGGCUCUGUGGUGUGGCCUGCUGCUUCCAGGCUGCAAACCUGACAGCAUGGGGCUGUACUGAAUACCGCAGACCAUUGUAAUUCAUGGGGAAAGCGCGAAUGCAGUCCCCCACUACAACAAAUUAUGCAGUCGAGUUUUCCACAUUUGGGAAUAUCACAGGGGUCAGCACAUCCGGAGUGCAAUCGAUGAGCCCCACGCUGGGAAAAACCACCUUCGUGAUCAUGGUAUCUUCCCUGCCAGAGAGAAACCAAUCAGCUUCAUUUUCAACUUCUUCUAUGACUCCAGAGGAUUCACUUUGCAUCUUGUGACAAAUGAAUAUAUUACCUGAAAAAAAAAUGACAGGAUAGAUGAGUUGCUGCACAGGGGGAAAGCGAAGUUCCCAGGAGUAAGAUGUGCAAGAAGCGGGCAGCCUUGCAUCUCAGGGCUGAGUUCCCUCAACUGUGUGCUUGAGGGAAGUUCUCCCCUUGCAGACACACUGCUGAGUGAUAAGGAAGCACCUAGACUCCACUCUGACCAGACUUGGUUCUGAGGCCUAUGAAAUGUUGAUGGGAAGAACAGAAGCAGGAAAAUCUAUCUAUUCAAAUUUGCAAGACGUGGAAACUUUUAUUCACCUUCCUGGUUAGACUGUUCCUUUGUCAAAGUAAAGCUAAGGCCAUGGAAAAUGAGCUAUUUGAGAGUUUGUCGCUCCAAGGAAGAACAUGCUGGCCUAAUUGUCCCCCAAGUCAGGAGAGAGAAUUGUAAAAAACACUUAAACAGGCCUAAGUAAAGGUCCAGCACAUUAUUUAUUUAAGACUGAAUUAGAACUGAGUCAUUCCGACUCUGAAAAAAGAGUGUUGUUGGAUUCUUAUGUAUUUAAUGGGUCUGCCCUAUUGAAAACCAUUGUGAAGUAUGGUUUCCCAAGCAAGAAAUGACACUUUCACUGUCAGUCUUUCUAGGAGUCUGGCAGAAUCCAGGACCGGGAUUACCCUUAUUUAUGAAGCGACCUUAGACUAACAGUGGCUCUCUGGGUCUCCAGACAAUUGGCCAGGGACUCUAAAAACCAGAAACAAAGUUGAGAGAACUCCAUGCUGGUGGAGAAAAACAGCUGGCCUUUAUCACCAGAAUGUGCCCCAUAGAAGCAGCAAAGCAGCAAGCGACGUUCUUAAACAAGGGCCUGUGGGCCUCGUCAAGAUCUGGAGGAAUCAUCUACGACUCACUGCUGAGUGAGAGGGCUAGGCAGUGUCUUUAAGGUCCUGCCAGCUUUAACAUUGUAUGCUUUUUCUUUUGUUCAAUCUCUCACCACAACUGGAAGUGUUGCCUCAACUACACAGGAGAAAGUUUGCAGUAACUUAGAGAAAACAUUAUUUUAAUCACCAGUGUAUGUUCUCCUGCUCCCUGGACAAAUCCAUCAGCAGCGGCAACACUGACCAGGUCCAGAUUGGGGCCGCUGCGGUGGAUGUGAAUCCAUUGAAACUAGGGGUCUCCAGUGCUCCUGACUCCUCACAGCUCUGUUCCUAUGACAAGGAUGGUCAGCAAAGCCAGCAACCUUGAAGGGGGACCUUCUUCUAAUCUCCUCCCUGCCUGCUGAGAGAGUGUACAGAAGCAGCCACUUGUCAGCUGCGAUGAAUCCAAUGAUAAUUACAUAAAUCAUUAACAAUACUUGAUAUUUGCCCAUCACAUUUCUCAUUUCAAAGUGCUCAUAAAAUUGUAUCUCAUGGGUGGCACUGCCGGCACAACAGAAUUCCAAGGAAGGAUUACGGGCUAAGUAAAUAAAGCCUGGAGGCUGCUUUAAAGCCUAGGAGUCUGUUAUUAACCCUUUCCUCCUUUUUGUUUAACUUUUUCUCAUGGAAAUGUUCAAACAUACCAAAAAUAGAGAAAAUACUAUAAUGAGUCCUUAUGUAUCCAUAACCUAGCUUCAAAAAUUAUGUAUGGCUUUACAGUCUUGUUUAGUUCAUAACUGCAACUUCAUUGAGGGUGAGUGCUGGGGUAUUGUGAAGCAAAUCAGUGACAACAUAUUUUACCCAUGGAUACUUUAGUGCCAUUAAUAAAAACCCCUAGGUUAUUCUAUUAAUUUGAAAUCUACUAUAAAUCUAUCUGAUGAAUAAAUCAAACAGAUUUUAACAAAUUGCUUCUCUUGCCAAAGUUUCCCAUUUGCUAGAACUAGAGAUUAUUCAUCAAAAUAGCUGUGACAGUAGAAACAUACCACUUGUCUACACACACAACACAUAGCAUACUUAGAAUAGGAAUAGAUCUCUGAUUUGAUGUCCCAGUAAUUUAGAGAUUGAUGAUAUCCUACCGAUACUUUAAGGAGCAGACAUUUUAAAACGAUGGUACAGACCCACUAGUCUGACCUUUUCUCUGUUAGUCACAGUUGGGCUGUGGUCAUUCCCGGAGUCCCUAAGAUUAGAACAGGUAAUGGGUCACCUGUGUGACCUGCACCAAGGCCAGCCCCACCGCCCCCGGCCACAGAAAUAAGAUCUCUCUCUCUCUCUGUCUGUCUCUGUGUGUGUAUGUAUGUGUGUAUGUCUGUUUCUGCCUCUCCCACAUCACAUACAUACAUACACACACACACACACACACACACAGUGCCUCACUGGGAAGAAAUGAGCAGGUAUGGAGGAGACAUUCUCAGAGAUGGAUCUCUACUGUGCUCCGUCUUGACUUAUUUGCUGUCAGUGCUCCAAGGGAUGAGCUCUGGAGGUCAUCAGUAACUUGGUCAAACAUCCACAGCUACUUCUUCAUCCUUCUGAUCCAAUCAAG